AGCGAACGCUGGCGGCAGGCCUAACACAUGCAAGUCGAGCGCCCAGCAAUGGGAGCGGCAGACGGGUGAGUAACGCGUGGGGAUCUGCCCAUUGGUACGGAAUAACCCAGGGAAACUUGGAUUAAUACCGUAUGAGCCCUUCGGGGGAAAGAUUUAUCGCCAAUGGAUGAACCCGCGUCUGAUUAGCUAGUUGGUGAGGUAAAGGCUCACCAAGGCGACGAUCAGUAGCUGGUCUGAGAGGAUGAUCAGCCACACUGGGACUGAGACACGGCCCAGACUCCUACGGGAGGCAGCAGUGGGGAAUAUUGGACAAUGGGCGCAAGCCUGAUCCAGCCAAGCCGCGUGAGUGAUGAAGGCCUUAGGGUUGUAAAGCUCUUUCGCCGGUGAAGAUAAUGACGGUACCUAAGGAGAAAGCACCGGCUAAAUACGUGCCAGCAGCCGCAGUAA
rnacentral:rRNA from 1 species